GAUGAACGCUGGCGGCGUGCCUAAUACAUGCAAGUCGAACGCUGGAAAUCUAGCUUGCUAGAUUGAAGGAGUGGCGAACGGGUGAGUAAUACAUAAGCAACCUACCCACGAAGACAGGGAUAAUCUCUGGAAACGGGGACUAAUACCGGAUAGGUAAUCGGAAGGCAUCUUCUGAUUAUUAAAGGUUAAAAACACUGGUGGAUGGGCUUAUGGCGCAUUAGUUAGUUGGUGAGGUAACGGCCCACCAAGACGAUGAUGCGUAGCCGGCCUGAGAGGGUGAACGGCCACAUUGGGACUGAGACACGGCCCAGACUCCUACGGGAGGCAGCAGUAGGGAAUUUUCGGCAAUGGGGGAAACCCUGACCGAGCAACGCCGCGUGAGUGAUGACGGCCUUCGGGUUGUAAAGCUCUGUUGUAAGGGAAGAACGGUAGAUAGAGAAUAUCUAAAUGACGGUACCUUACCAGAAAGCCACGGCUAACUACGUG
rnacentral:rRNA from 1 species